UGGGGAAUAUUGCACAAUGGGCGCAAGCCUGAUGCAGCCAUGCCGCGUGUGUGAAGAAGGCCUUCGGGUUGUAAAGCACUUUCAGCGAGGAGGAAGGGUAGUGUGUUAAUAGCACAUUGCAUUGACGUUACUCGCAGAAGAAGCACCGGCUAACUCCGUGCCAGCAGCCGCGGUAAUACGGAGGGUGCAAGCGUUAAUCGGAAUUACUGGGCGUAAAGCGCACGCAGGCGGUCUGUUAAGUCAGAUGUGAAAUCCCCGCGCUUAACGUGGGAACUGCAUUUGAAACUGGCAAGCUAGAGUCUUGUAGAGGGGGGUAGAAUUCCAGGUGUAGCGGUGAAAUGCGUAGAGAUCUGGAGGAAUACCGGUGGCGAAGGCGGCCCCCUGGACAAAGACUGACGCUCAGGUGCGAAAGCGUGGGGAGCAAACA
rnacentral:rRNA from 1 species